rfam:Virgibacillus soli strain PL205 scaffold000035, whole genome shotgun sequence.
AAAAAAUCGAUGAUAAGGAUUAGUAUAAUUAGCCGUCUUUUUUAGAGAGGAAAUGGGUGGUGUAAAUUUCCAGAGAUGCUAAUUAGAACCUGCCUUGGAGUUCGCCUCGGAACUAAAGUGAAGAUGUGCGCGGUUUUGGCCGUUAUUCAGUUGAGUGUGCAUGAUUUCUUAAACCGUGUAAAUAAGGGUGGUACCACCGGUCCCCGGUCCUUUUG